rnacentral:siRNA from 1 species
CGGUCCGAACGACGCUUCCGC